rfam:Triticum aestivum genome assembly, contig: Triticum_aestivum_CS42_TGACv1_scaffold_379333_5AL
ACAAGGAAGGGCGUAGCAAGCGGCAAAAUGCUUCGGGGAGUUGAAAUAAGCAUAGAUCUGGAGAUUCCCAAAUAGGUCAACCUUUUGAACUACCUGCUGAAUCCAUGAGCAGGCAAGAGACAACCUGACAAACUGAAACAUCUUAGUAGCCAGAGGAAAAGAAAGGGUAAUA